rnacentral:ncRNA from 1 species
ACAAAUGCUAUGAUAGGGAGGAGUAUAUAGAUUCCUGAUGCGAAGAGAGGAGACGUAAGGUGCAAGUCUCCGUGAAGGAUUUAUGGAAGUAGCCCUUGAGCAGUGGAGCGAACGCGCGGACUUGCAUGUAUGAAAGUAAGUUGCUGUGUCAGUAGAUUCCAACGCAGCCUCAGCGUUAGCGGAGAGCGGUAUCGGAGGAAGAGAUUUCUCCCGUACCGGAUGAGUGCAGGGAUUUUUCCUGAAUUUAGGUGGUAACACGGAUAUGAUAUUCGCCCUAAGC